CCUACGGGGGGCAGCAGUGGGGAAUAUUGGACAGUGGGCGAAAGCCUGAUCCAGCAAUGCCGCGUGUGUGAAGAAGGUCUUCGGAUUGUAAAGCACUUUCGACGGGGACGAUGAUGACGGUACCCGUAGAAGAAGCCCCGGCUAACUUCGUGCCAGCAGCCGCGGUAAUACGAAGGGGGCUAGCGUCGCUCGGAAUGACUGGGCGUAAAGGGCGCGUAGGCGGUUUAUGCAGUCAGAUGUGGAAUCCCCGGGCUUAACCUGGGAACUGCAUUUGAGACGCAUAGACUAGAGGUCGAGAGAGGGUUGUGGAAUCCCCAGUGUAGAGGUGAAAUUCGUAGAUAUUGGGAAGAACACCGGUGGCGAAGGCGGCAACCUGGCUCGAUACUGACGCUGAGGCGCGAAAGCGUGGGGAGCAAACAGGAUUAGAUACCCCCGUAGUC
rnacentral:rRNA from 1 species